rnacentral:misc_RNA from 1 species
UUUCCGUAGGUGAACCUGCGGAAGGAUCAUUCAUAAUAAGUGUUUUAUGGUACUUUUUUAAAUCCAUAUCCACCUUGUGUGCAAUGUCAGGGUUGAUUUUUCUCUCGAGAGGAUCAACCCCAAACAUCAACUAUAUCUCAACUCUUUGUCUGAAAAAUAUUAUGAAUAAAACAAUUCAAAAUACAACUUUCAACAACGGAUCUCUUGGCUCUC